UCCCCAACAACAUCCUGGUGCUGAGUGAUGACACACGCAACUCCAGCAUCAGUGAUUUUGUUGAAGA
rnacentral:pre_miRNA from 1 species